UGCUUAGGUCAACUUGGAUCUCCUUGGGUCUGCUUAGGUCUCCUUGGAUCUGUUUGGAUCUACGUAGGUCUCCUUGGGUCUGCUUAGGUUGACUUCCUUGGAUCUACGUAGGUCUCUUUGUCCUGCUUAGAUCUGCUUGGAUCUCUUUGGGUCUGCUUAGGUCCACUUGGAUCUGUUUGGAUCUACGUAGAUCUCCUUGGAUCCAUGUAGGUCUACUUGGGCCCGCAUAGGUCUGCUUGGAUCUGCGUUGGUCUUCUUGGAUCUACUUGGAUCUGUGUAGGUCUGCUUGGAUCUACUUGGAUCUGUGUAGGUUUACUUGGAUCUACUUGGAUCUGUGUAGGUCUGCUUGGAUCUACUUGGA